AUGUCGACAACCUCCUUGCGGCUGCCUGCACUGUUUCUUGCACCAAUAGCGGUCGCCGUGGAGAGCGAGAGCCUCACCCUGAGGCCAGGAUGCCAUGCGAGCUGCGGUGGUGUCAAGGUCCCCUACCCUUUCGGCAUCGGCACAUACUGCUUCCGCCCAGGCUUUGAGAUCGCCUGCGUCAACAAGACGCCGGCUCUGACAGUCACCACCCAGGUGAUCCAGGUGCUAGAGCUUUCCGUCAUGCCACGCCCGGAAGCCCGGGUGAUGCUUCCUGUGGCGUGGCAGUGCUUCAACACCACCACCAACGACGUCAUUGAAAGCUUCGACGCCAGAUUGAACAUCAAUCCGUCUGGCGUGUACCGCAUCUCCAACACCGCAACGAACUCUUCGUCUUGGGCUGCAACACCAUCAUCUUCACCAACAGCGGGCCGCCCGCCGGCCGCUGCUCAUACCCCCACAGGUACUACACGGGAUGCGUCCCCUUCUGCAAUGACUCCCGGAGCGCGUGACGGCGCGUGCGCGGGCAUCGGCUGCUACCACGUCGACAUCUCACCGGGCCUCACCGAUAACUGGAUGAGGUUCUACUCCUUCACACACGUCGACAUCGAGUUCAGCCCCUGCGACUUUGCCUUCAUCGUGGAGAAGGGCUACUACAGCUUCCAGGAGGCUGACCUCCAUAUGGGCCCUGGCGCCAGCCACAGAAAGAUGCUGAUGCGGCUAGACUGGGCCAUCCGCGACAGCAACGUCAAGUCCACCGACUCCCUGACCUGCUCCCAGGCAGCCAACAAGCCAGGGUACACCUGCGUCAGUGACCACAGCAAGUGCGUCAAGUCCAUCAAUGGCCCCGGAUACUUCUGCAACUACAGCCAAGGCUAUCACUAG
rnacentral:rRNA from 1 species